CCUCAAGAUAGACUAAACACCGAUAUUCCUUGUAGAAAAACACAGUUUUGGAGUGAUAUUAGUGGCGAGAGUUUGGGAUUAGUCACACAGCUUAGACACGUCAAACUGUAGCAGAUGGUUUAGUAAAUGUUUAAAAUAUUUCCUCCUUGAGUUACGUCCAGUGUUCUUAGAUAAUUAUGGAGACUUGUGAGCCGUUACUCAUUAGCAUAAAGAAUACAGUAAUGACAUGGUAAUAUGUGCUGUUGUAACUUGGGGUGCGGGGGAGAGGUACAGUGGUUACCCUAGAGUUUCCUGGUUGCUGUAGUGACGACGGGCUUUGACCUGUGUGGGGAAGAGGUACAGCGGUUACCCUAGAGUUUCCUGGUUGCUGUAGUGACGACGGGCUUUUGACCUGUGCGGGGGAGAGGUACAGUGGUUACCCUACAGUUUCCUGGAAGAGGUACAGCGGUUACCCUACAGUUUCCUGGUUGCUGUAGUGACGACGGGCUUUGACCUGUGCGGGGGAGAGGUACAGCGGUUACCCUAGAGUUUCCUGGUUGCUGUAGUGACGACGGGCUUUGACCUGUGUGGGGAAGAGGUACAGCGGUUACCCUAGAGUUUCCUGGAAGAGGUACAGUGGUUACCCUAGAGUUUCCUGGAAGAGGUACAGUGGUUACCCUAGAGUUUCCUGGAAGAGGUACAGCGGUUACCCUAGAGUUUCCUGGUUGCUGUAGUGACGACGGGCUUUGACCUGUGUGGGGGAGAGGUACAGCGGUUACCCUAGAGUUUCCUGGUUGCUGUAGUGACGACGGGCUUUGACCUGUGCGGGGAAGAGGUAAAGCGGUUACCCUACAGUUUCCUGGAAGAGGUACAGCUGUUACCCUAGAGUUUCCUGGUUGCUGUAGUGACGACGGGCUUUAACCUCUCUCUCUCCCCCCCACACCCCCUUGUUAGUCUCCUGACGGGGCCUCCUGGUCGGUGGCUUGGUCAACUAGGCUGUUAGGUGCUGCUGUGUGCAUUCUGACACAAUGUAUAUAGCUCCUGGUUGGUCAGGUUAGCUGGUUGAUCAACACCUUUAGGUCUCUGGAGGCUCUUGUUGUUAUAGAUUCAGCUACAAAGAACCAGUUGCAAGUAGCACGGGCUAUGGUGAGCCCGUACUCUGGAGGUGUUGAACAUGUUCCCAUUUGAACAGUGAGAGAGAUCAGCAAGUUAUGUUUCUUACAUGUAGUAUUAAGGUGUUAAAAGGGUC